UGGGGAAUUUUGGACAAUGGGCGAAAGCCUGAUCCAGCCAUGCCGCGUGCAGGAUGAAGGCCUUCGGGUUGUAAACUGCUUUUGUACGGAACGAAACGGUCUUUUCUAAUACAGAAGGCUAAUGACGGUACCGUAAGAAUAAGCACCGGCUAACUACGUG
rnacentral:rRNA from 1 species